AGAGUUUGAUCAUGGCUCAGAUUGAACGCUGGCGGCAGGCCUAACACAUGCAAGUCGAACGGUAACAGGAAGCAGCUUGCUGCUUCGCUGACGAGUGGCGGACGGGUGAGUAAUGUCUGGGAAACUGCCUGAUGGAGGGGGAUAACUACUGGAAACGGUGGCUAAUACCGCAUAACGUCGCAAGACCAAAGAGGGGGACCUUCGGGCCUCUUGCCAUCAGAUGUGCCCAGAUGGGAUUAGCUAGUUGGUGAGGUAACGGCUCACCAAGGCGACGAUCCCUAGCUGGUCUGAGAGGAUGACCAGCCACACUGGAACUGAGACACGGUCCAGACUCCUACGGGAGGCAGCAGUGGGGAAUAUUGCACAAUGGGCGCAAGCCUGAUGCAGCCAUGCCGCGUGUAUGAAGAAGGCCUUCGGGUUGUAAAGUACUUUCAGCGGGGAGGAAGGUGUUGUGGUUAAUAACCGCAGCAAUUGACGUUACCCGCAGAAGAAGCACCGGCUAACUCCGUGCCAGCAGCCGCGGUAAUACGGAGGGUGCAAGCGUUAAUCGGAAUUACUGGGCGUAAAGCGCACGCAGGCGGUCUGUCAAGUCGGAUGUGAAAUCCCCGGGCUCAACCUGGGAACUGCAUUCGAAACUGGCAGGCUUGAGUCUUGUAGAGGGGGGUAGAAUUCCAGGUGUAGCGGUGAAAUGCGUAGAGAUCUGGAGGAAUACCGGUGGCGAAGGCGGCCCCCUGGACAAAGACUGACGCUCAGGUGCGAAAGCGUGGGGAGCAAACAGGAUUAGAUACCCUGGUAGUCCACGCCGUAAACGAUGUCUACUUGGAGGUUGUGCCCUUGAGGCGUGGCUUCCGGAGCUAACGCGUUAAGUAGACCGCCUGGGGAGUACGGCCGCAAGGUUAAAACUCAAAUGAAUUGACGGGGGCCCGCACAAGCGGUGGAGCAUGUGGUUUAAUUCGAUGCAACGCGAAGAACCUUACCUGGUCUUGACAUCCACGGAAGUUUUCAGAGAUGAGAAUGUGCCUUCGGGAACCGUGAGACAGGUGCUGCAUGGCUGUCGUCAGCUCGUGUUGUGAAAUGUUGGGUUAAGUCCCGCAACGAGCGCAACCCUUAUCCUUUGUUGCCAGCGGUCCGGCCGGGAACUCAAAGGAGACUGCCAGUGAUAAACUGGAGGAAGGUGGGGAUGACGUCAAGUCAUCAUGGCCCUUACGACCAGGGCUACACACGUGCUACAAUGGCGCAUACAAAGAGAAGCGACCUCGCGAGAGCAAGCGGACCUCAUAAAGUGCGUCGUAGUCCGGAUUGGAGUCUGCAACUCGACUCCAUGAAGUCGGAAUCGCUAGUAAUCGUGGAUCAGAAUGCCACGGUGAAUACGUUCCCGGGCCUUGUACACACCGCCCGUCACACCAUGGGAGUGGGUUGCAAAAGAAGUAGGUAGCUUAACCUUCGGGAGGGCGCUUACCACUUUGUGAUUCAUGACUGGGGUGAAGUCGUAACAAGGUAACCGUAGGGGAACCUGCGGUUG
rnacentral:rRNA from 4 species